rnacentral:rRNA from 1 species
AGACAGCAGUAGCCGCGGUAAUACGGAGGGUGCAAGCGUUAUCCGGAUUUAUUGGGUUUAAAGGGUCCGUAGGCGGACUUAUAAGUCAGUGGUGAAAGCCUGUCGCUUAACGAUAGAACUGCCAUUGAUACUGUAAGUCUUGAGUAUAUUUGAGGUAGAUGGAAUAAGUAGUGUAGCGGUGAAAUGCAUAGAUAUUACUUAGAACACCAAUUGCGAAGGCAGGUUACCAAGAUAUAACUGACGCUGAGGGACGAAAGCGUGGGUAGCGAACAGGAUUAGAUACCCGAGUAGUCCCUGUCUCUUAUAC